GAUGAACGCUGGCGGCGUGCUUAACACAUGCAAGUCGAACGGAAAGGCCCAAGCUUGCUUGGGUACUCGAGUGGCGAACGGGUGAGUAACACGUGGGUGAUCUGCCCUGCACUUCGGGAUAAGCCUGGGAAACUGGGUCUAAUACCGGAUAGGACCACAUUCUGGAUGGUGUGGUGGAAAGUUUUUCGGUGUGGGAUGAGCUCGCGGCCUAUCAGCUUGUUGGUGGGGUAAUGGCCUACCAAGGCGUCGACGGGUAGCCGGCCUGGGAGGGUGUACGGCCACAUUGGGACUGAGAUACGGCCCAGACUCCUACGGGAGGCAGCAGUGGGGAAUAUUGCACAAUGGGCGCGAGCCUGAUGCAGCGACGCCGCGUGGGGGAUGACGGCCUUCGGGUUGUAAACUCCUUUCGCUAGGGACGAAGCGUUAUGUGACGGUACCUGGAGAAGAAGCACCGGCUAACUACGUG
rnacentral:rRNA from 1 species